AGAAAAUCUACCAGAGACCUGAAUCAGCAGGUAUGGAUGGAGCAACACCCCCUCCUAUACCCGAAGCCUUAUUAGAUGAAAUCGACAACAUCAACAACGCUAAUAAUAAUAAUAAUAAUAAUGAUGAAAAUGAUGCGGUUUAUCAAAAGUACCUCGCUCAACACGACUCGCCACCCGCAGCGUCUGGUGAAGCGAGGGCCCAAGAGCCCUGUUUCCUACCAUCCUUUGAGAUAUUAAUAAGCAUGUUAAAUUAAAGGGGCUCUGAAGCAGAAGCGGUUUCAACCCAAAAUUGAAACAAGUUUGAAAAAAAAAAAAACCCUACCACGCACACACGGCCAAACUGCUGCUGCAGGGGGGGUGUCAGCUUUCACACACACACACACACACACGGCCAAACUGCUGCUGCUAAGCGUUCAUUGGACGAUAGCGUCAGACCCACCUCCUGCUCCUCUCAUUCUUAGCUCCAACUUUCUCAUUCUCCCAGAGUUUCUUUCAGUCUUGCGCAGCACUGGGAUAAGCUCCAGCAUCGCUCUCUCUGAGUCCUUUGCGCUAUGCCCAAGUACAACAUUUACACGCUCCGCCGGACCGACCGGGACCUUCCCAAGGUAGCGCUCCACAGGCACCCCCGGCGUACGCUCACGCUCCAUCAGUGAAGCGUACCUGUGAUCAGUGGACAGCCAUGGAAGAUGAAGAUCCUGAUGUUGCUGCAGUUGGAAAGGAUCGCCAUCACAGCUCUGUCUGUCAGGGACUGACAGCGUGCCAUUUGCAGCUCCUGGGACAAAACCACGGCAGCAUGACAUGAAACCGCAGCGACAGCAUCACCAUCUAAGGGCCGCCCAAGGAAGCAGCUGUUAAAAUGAAGCUCAUAGGGGUGGCUGCUGUCAAGAAUGGUGUGUUCUCUCCUGAAGCAGUAACCUCAAUAGCUACUCCAUUAGGAGAAGUACUUGGAAUUAGAUGUAUGGCUUCCAGAUCCAAUGGUUCUAUUCAAGAAUGUAGAAGAAAUUCCUAAAGAAGGAAGUGAUGUAAUCUUGUUAUCCAUAAAUGAAACGUGCAUCAUAAGCAUGGUUGUUGUUGACUGAUUUAAUAACACUGAGAGAUGAUAUCUGGAAAAAAUAUAUAGGGCUGAUAUUGAUGGAGCAGAUGUACAGUCUGCUCAAGGUGCUAAAUGAGGUGUGGAAACGAUAAAUCGAGGAAGAUCAGUGUAAAGAUAAGAGCCUACGGUCAAGACAGAUGUAAUGCAAAAGAUCACAUUAUUUGAAGAACUGGGAAGUGCUGAAAAAUGGUUAGCGGAGUCAAAAAGUCAGGAGGUGAUCUAGAGUGUAUGGUGACCUUUGGAAAGUACUGAAAUAGUGUGGGCACCACUUGCACAUGAGCUGAAGUAAGCAAAUUCAGUUACUAAGGGCAAAAACUAGUUACGGAAUGUAAGAAAUCAUUCUCAACAAAUCUAAGUCAGAAGUUUGGAUGUGUCAUGUGUCACUAAAGACAUAUACGACCUGUAACCGCUUGCAGUGGAAGUGAGCCACUGUGACAGAAAUCUUAGGUGUGACUCCCUCUGCAUGCAAAUUGAAUAAAAGUAACCAGACAUUUAAAGAAA